rnacentral:snoRNA from 1 species
UUAAAAGGAACCGCCAACUUUCCAGACAUUCGCAGUCUCCCCUGGAAAGGUUUUUCUUAUGUCGACCAGUUCUUCCUUGGGUGUCUGAGUGA